CACGCUCAUUCAGAAGCAGCGGGGUUUGAUAGAGGAGCAGACAUCAAAGACAGGAGUGCUGCUGUGUGCCUGGACACGAGAGGAUGGAGAAGGUCUUCCAUCACUACCACCUUGCACCUUUCUGCCAUUCUACCCCACAUUACCAGCAACCCACCUGGUUUGACUCCUCACUCUGGUCAGACUUUACAGCUGCGGAAGGGCCUCCCAGUCCUAAAAAAGCAAGACCUGUCUCAGCACAGUCUCUUCAGCAUAUCAUUUAAAUAAGUGUCACAGGAAAGGUUACGCAAUGCCAGAUCACCCUGAAAAACAUCAGGCUUUCGACAUUCUUGUUGGACAUUGAAGAGACGAUGAUGAUGGGUGUGUAGGCAGUCAAAAGAAAGUCUGCACAGUGAUUGGCCUGGAACUGCAUUACAUAGUUUCAGUGGAUCAGCGGAACAACCGUUCUCAGUGGAUCAGCGGAACAACCGUUCUCAGUGGAUCACCGUAACAACCGUUCUCAGUGGAUCAGCGGAACAACCGUUCUCAGUGGAUCAGCGGAAGAACCGUUCUCAGUGGAUCAGCGGAAGAACCGUUCUCAGUGGAUCAGCGGAACAACCGUUCUCAGUGGAUCAGCGGAACAACCGUUCUCACUGGAUCAGCGGAACAACCGUUCUCAGUGGAUCAGCGUAACAACCGUUCUCAGUGGAUCAGCGGAACAACCGUUCUCAGUGGAUCAGCGGAAGAACCGUUCUCAGUGGAUCAGUGGAAGAACCGUUCUCAGUGGAUCAGCGGAAGAACCCUUCCGUAGUUGAGUACCAAC